UGUCAGGAUUGGUACAAAGUAUAGCACCACUGUGUACCAGGCUCUGUCCAACCCUUGUUCCCAGCUGUUAGACGAGAAAUGCACUGCCUUCCCACACCAGUACCAGAGCCUCUAUUCUCACAGACACAGAAAUCCACAAGAUGUCAAAUUGCCACGGAGUUCAGCUUCAUUCCUGAACCAGGGCACAGGAGAUCUUAACACUGGGUUCAAAGUCAUGAGACAUACUGCAGAUCUUUAGUGUACAUGCUAUGUGACAGGCAAUAAUGACCGCAAUAUAAGCAGAUCAGUCAACCAUCCAGAAACACUUUCUCAUGACAAGAAUAUUGGACGAAGAGUAGCCCACUUGCCACACUUUUGGCACAGGACUAUUUUAUGUACUGAAGGUUAGUGAGGGAGUAAGCGCACGCUCGACGGAUUGACUAGUUUGGUUUAGCUACCGGAAGACACGGAUGUCAACAAACCGAGAGGAAGCCGUGGCUGAGGAAUCCAGAGAGUAGCUGAGCGGAGCGGGGCUCCAGGGCAGGAGAGCAGGGUAGAUGGCACCGAAGGCUUGACAGAGGGGCAAGAGCAGAGCCAACAAAACUACUGGGAGAGGAGAACAGGAUUAGGCAUGCAGACUAACUGAGCAGGUACUAUGAUCUGGCAAGGUGGACGAGGCAGAGCUGAGUUCUUGUAGUCCCGAUUACAGGAUCAGAUGCAGCUGGUGGGGCUCUGCUCCAACACAC